rnacentral:rRNA from 1 species
GCGGGUGAGUAACACGUAGGUAACCUACCCUUCAGCGGGGGACAACAGAGGGAAACUUCUGCUAAUACCGCAUACGAUCACGGACUGGGAUGUUCGUGGUGAAAGGAUUUAUUCGCUGAGGGAUGGGCCUGCGGCCUAUCAGGUAGUUGGUGGGGUAAUGGCCUACCAAGCCUGCGACGGGUAGCCGGACUGAGAGGUCGAUCGGCCACACUGGAACUGAGACACGGUCCAGACUCCUACGGGAGGCAGCAGUGGGGAAUAUUGCACAAUGGGGGAAACCCUGAUGCAGCGACGCCGCGUGGAGGAUGACGGCCUUCGGGUUGUAAACUCCUUUUGUCGGGGACAAUGGUGAUGGUACCCGACGAAUAAGCCACGGCUAACUCUGUGCCAGCAGCCGCGGUAAGACAGAGGUGGCGAGCGUUGUUCGGAAUUACUGGGCUUAAAGGGCGCGUAGGCGGUGGUGUAAGUCUAGGGUGGAAUGCUACAGCUCAACUGUAGAGCUGCCUUGGAAACUGCAUUACUUGAGUCGGUGAGGGGAAGGUGGAAUUCCAGGU